rnacentral:rRNA from 1 species
UACGUAGGGUGCAAGCGUUGUCCGGAAUUAUUGGGCGUAAAGGGCUCGUAGGCGGCCCACUAAGUCAGACGUGAAAUCCCUCGGCUUAACCGGGGAACGGCGUCUGAUACUGGAGGGCUUGAGUUCGGGAGAGGGAUGCGGAAUUCCAGGUGUAGCGGUGAAAUGCGUAGAUAUCUGGAGGAACACCGGUGGCGAAGGCGGCAUCCUGGACCGAGACUGACGCUGAGGAGCGAAAGCCAGGGGAGCAAACGGG